ACUGACACAAAAUUAUAAUACCUUGUAUUAUUAAUAGUUAUUUUCUUUAAAAUAAAGAAUUUGGCGGUAGCUUAUCUUAUUAGAGGAAUCUGUUCAUUAAUUCGAUACAACACGUUAAAUUUUACUUACUUUGAAGGUUUGUAUACCGUCAUUAAGAUAAUUUUGAUAAAAAUUUAUUAUAAAAAAAAAUUCUAAGAAAUUAGAUCAAGGUGCAGCGUAUAAGUAAGGUAGAAAUGGAUUACAAUAGUUUUAAACUGUGGAUAGACUUAUGAAAAUAAGUCUGGAAAGUGGAUUUAAUAGUAUAUUGAGAAUAUAAUAUAUCAGGUAGAAAUUAGCUCUAAGCUAUGU
rnacentral:rRNA from 1 species